rnacentral:rRNA from 1 species
UUCUGUAAGCCUGUGAAGGUGGCCUGUGAGGGUUGCUGGAGGUAUCAGAAGUGCGAAUGCUGACAUAAGUAACGAUAAAGCGGGUGAAAAGCCCGCUCGCCGGAAGACCAAGGGUUCCUGUCCAACGUUAAUCGGGGCAGGGUGAGUCGACCCCUAAGGCGAGGCCGAAAGGCGUAGUCGAUGGGAAACGGGUUAAUAUUCCCGUACUUGGUGUUACUGCGAAGGGGGGACGGAGAAGGCUAUGUUGGCCGGGCGACGGUUGUCCCGGUUUAAGCGUGUAGGUGUGUGUUCCAGGUAAAUCCGGUUCACUUUAACACUGAGGCGUGACGACGAGGCACUACGGUGCUGAAGCAACAAAUGCCCUGCUUCCAGGAAAAGCCUCUAAGCAUCAGGUAACAUCAAAUCGUACCCCAAACCGACACAGGUGGUCAGGUAGAGAAUACCAAGGCGCUUGAGAGAACUCGGGUGAAGGAACUAGGCAAAAUGGUGCCGUAACUUCGGGAGAAGGCACGCUGACACGUAGGUGAAGUGAUUUACUCAUGGAGCUGAAGUCAGUCGAAGAUACCAGCUGGCUGCAACUGUUUAUUAAAAACACAGCACUGUGCAAACACGAAAGUGGACGUAUACGGUGUGACGCCUGCCCGGUGCCGGAAGGUUAAUUGAUGGGGUCAGCGCAAGCGAAGCUCCUGAUCGAAGCCCCGGUAAACGGCGGCCGUAACUAUAACGGUCCUAAGGUAGCGAAAUUCCUUGUCGGGUAAGUUCCGACCUGCACGAAUGGCGUAAUGAUGGCCAGGCUGUCUCCACCCGAGACUCAGUGAAAUUGAACUCGCUGUGAAGAUGCAGUGUACCCGCGGCAAGACGGAAAGACCCCGUGAACCUUUACUAUAGCUUGACACUGAACAUUGAGCCUUGAUGUGUAG